rnacentral:rRNA from 1 species
AGAAUCAACGCUGGCGGCGUGCCUAACACAUGCAAGUCGCACGAGAAAGGGUAGCAAUACCUGAGUACAGUGGCGCACGGGUGAGUAACACGUGAAUCAUCUACCUCCGAGUGGGGAAUAACUGAGAGAAAUCUUAGCUAAUACCGCAUAAUACCCGCGGGUCAAAGCAGCAAUGCGCUUGGAGAGGAGUUCGCGGCAGAUUAGUUAGUUGGCGGGUAAUGGCCCACCAAGACGAUGAUCUGUA